rnacentral:rRNA from 1 species
UGAGUUGGUUUAANGAUCUCACACUGGCCGGUCGUUUUACAGCUACCAUGCAGUCGAACGCGAAUCUUCGGAAGCAAAGAGUAGAGUGGCGCACGGGUGAGUAACGCGUAAGUAAUCUACCCUGGCAUCCGGAAUAACCCACCGAAAGGUGAGCUAAAUACCGGAUACUGAUUAGAGUAAUACAAGAAAGGUGGCCUCUUUCAUAGAAAUGUCUACUAGUGCUNUGGGAGUGAGUCUUGCGUAACCAUUAGCUAUGUAAGUGUAGUGGUAACUGGCUCUACCUAGGCGACGAUGGUUAGCGGGUCUAGAAGAGGAUAAGAUCCGCACAA